rnacentral:lncRNA from 1 species
GCUUCUCUUUCUUGUAUUCCCCUCAUCCCAGCCAUCAUUAAGUACUAACAGCUCUACUGUCAACCUCUGACCAUUUCUCGUCACUUUCACUGUUAUCACAUUGGUUCAAGUUACCAUCAUAUUCACCUGAGUUAAUUGCAAUAGCUUUAUAACUAUACCUACUAGAAGACGUCACUGCUUUGACUUUUGCCACACUCUUUCUUACACCCAAGUUAUUCUCAUCCAAUAGCCAAAAUUAUCAUUUUAAAGCCUAAAUCUGAAUAUGAUACUUUUCUACUUAAAACCUUCCAAUUGCUCUCCAUCUCACUCAAAAAAUUCAUACCUGACAAUUGUCUAUAAGGCCCUAUACAAUCCUAUUGCUCUAACUUCAUCAUCUAUUCACCCACUAGUUCACUAGGAGCCAGCCAA